rnacentral:rRNA from 1 species
UACGUAGGUGGCAAGCGUUAUCCGGAUUUAUUGGGUGUAAAGGGCGUGUAGGCGGGAGCGCAAGUCAGAUGUGAAAACUCAGGGCUCAACCCUGAGCCUGCAUUUGAAACUGUGUUUCUUGAGUGCUGGAGAGGCAAUCGGAAUUCCGUGUGUAGCGGUGAAAUGCGUAGAUAUACGGAGGAACACCAGUGGCGAAGGCGGAUUGCUGGACAGUAACUGACGCUGAGGCGCGAAAGCGUG